rnacentral:rRNA from 1 species
GACGAACGCUGGCGGCGUGCUUAACACAUGCAAGUCGAACGGAAAGGCCCUGCUUUUGUGGGGUGCUCGAUUGGCGAACGGGUGAGUAACACGUGAGUAACCUGCCCUUGACUUUGGUAUAACUUCAGGAAACUGGGGCUAAUACAGGAUAGGAGAUCCUGCUGCAUGGUGGGGGUUGGAAAGUUUCGGCGGGUGUGGAUGGACGCGCGGCUUAUCAGCUUGUUGGUGGGGUAGUGGCUUACCAAGGCUUUGACGGGUAGCCGGCCUGAGAGGGUGACCGGCCACAUGGGGACUGAGAGACGGACCAGACUCCUACGGGAGGCAGCAGUGGGGAAUAUUGCACAAUGGGCGGAAGCCUGAUGAGGCAACGCCGCGUGCGGGAUGACGGCUUUCGGGUUGUAAACCGCUUUAGCCUGUGACGAAGCGUGAGUGACGGUAAUGGGUAAAGAAGCACCGGCUAACUACGUG